rnacentral:rRNA from 1 species
CACGAAGUUAGCCGGGGCUUCUUCUUUGGGUACCGUCAUUAUCUUCCCCAACGAAAGAGCUUUACAACCCUAAGGCCUUCAUCACUCACGCGGCAUGGCUGGAUCAGGCUUGCGCCCAUUGUCCAAUAUUCCCCACUGCUGCCUCCCGUAGGAGUCUGGGCCGUGUCUCAGUCCCAGUGUGGCUGAUCAUCCUCUCAGACCAGCUACUGAUCGUCGCCUUGGUAGGCCAUUACCCCACCAACUAGCUAAUCAGACGCGGGCUAAUCCUUCAGCGAUAAAUCUUUCCCCAAAAGGGCGUAUACGGUAUUAGCACAAGUUUCCCUGAGUUAUUCCGUACUGAAGGGCAUAUUCCCACGCGUUACUCACCCGUCUGCCACUCACCCCGAAGGAUGCGUUCGACUUGCAUGUGUUAAGCCUGCCGCCAGCGUUCGUUCUGAGCCAGGAUCAAACUCU